AAAGGAACUAAGGGCGCACAGUGGAUGCCUUGGCACUAAGAGCCGAUGAAGGAAUCACUAGUGAAUUC
rnacentral:rRNA from 1 species